rnacentral:rRNA from 1 species
GAACUUAAGCAUAUCACUAAGCGGAGGAAAAGAAACUAACAAGGAUUCCCCUAGUAACUGCGAGUGAAGCGGGAAAAGCUCAAAUUUAAAAUCUGGCGGUCCUUGGCCGUCCGAGUUGUAAUUUAGAGAAGCGUCUUCCGCGCCGGACCGUGCACAAGUCUCCUGGAAUGGAGCGUCAUAGAGGGUGAGAAUCCCGUCUUUGGCACGGAUGCCUGGUGCUUCUGUGAUGCGCUCUCGAAGAGUCGAGUUGUUUGGGAAUGCAGCUCAAAAUGGGUGGUGAACUCCAUCUAAAGCUAAAUAUUGGCGAGAGACCGAUAGCGAACAAGUACCGUGAGGGAAAGAUGAAAAGCACUUUGGAAAGAGAGUGAAACAGUACGUGAAAUUGUUGAAAGGGAAACGCUUGAAGUCAGUCGCGUCGACCGAGACUCAGCCUUGCCUUGGCUUGGUGUACUUCUCGGCCUGACGGGUCAGCAUCAAUUUUGCACCUCGGAUAAUGGCAAGGGAGAGGUGGCACCUUUACGGGUGUGUUAUAGUCUCCUGUCGCAUGCGAGUGGUGGGAUUGAGGAACUCAGCGCGCACCUCAGUGUCGGGGCUUCGGCCCACGUCACGCGCUUAGGAUGCUGGCGUAAUGGCUUUAAACGACCCGUCUUGAAACACGGACCAAGGAGUCCAACACGCCCGCGAGUGUUCGGGUGGAAAACCCGUGCGCGUAAUGAAAGUGAAAGUUGGGACCUCUGUCGUGGAGGGCACCGACGCCCGGACCAGACCUUCUGUGACGGAUCUGCGGUAGAGCGUGUGUGUUGGGACCCGAAA